AAAAUACAUAUGAGGCAUCACUUCAUUCAUUGUCACCUCAGUAUGAGUACAGAAUGCAUGGUGCUCUGAAGUGAUUAAUUUACUCUCAGGCCCUACAGAGGGACGGGACAGCCCAGCGCAUCACUGGGGGGCGAGCUCCCAGCCAUCCAGGACGUACAUGCCAGGCGGUGUCUGAGAAAGGCCCGAAAUAUUGCCAAAGACUCCAGCCAUCCUAGACAUGGACUGUUCUCCAUACUCGACUAUCCAAACUGACUCUAUGCCCAUCCACAGGUCUCUACCCACUGAGACACAACAUACGCUGAUGCUACAAUUAUUAUUGAUUACCAUAAGUAUUUAUCUAUUUAUCCUGCUACUGGUCACUAUUACUCCUGUUUACAUGUAUAUAUUACCACUAGUAUACAGCAUUACCAUAAUUAUUUAUAUAUUCCUGCAACCAGUCACUUUUCAGCCCUGUUUACAUGUAUAUCCUACUACAAGUCACUUUUUAUGUAUAAACCCACCUCAACCACUCCAGUACCCCUGUACAUUAAAUAAGGCACUGGCACUGGCCUGUAUAUGCAACAUUU